ACUCCUACGGGAGGCAGCAGUGGGGAAUAUUGGACAAUGGGCGCAAGCCUGAUCCAGCCAUGCCGCGUGAGUGAUGAAGGCCUUAGGGUUGUAAAGCUCUUUUGUCCGGGACGAUAAUGACGGUACCGGAAGAAUAAGCCCCGGCUAACUUCGUGCCAGCAGCCGCGGUAAUACGAAGGGGGCGUAGCGUUGCUCGGAAUCACUGGGCGUAAAGGGCGCGUAGGCGGCCUUGUAAGUUGGGGGUGAAAGCCCGUGGCUCAACCACGGAAUUGCCUUCGAUACUGCUUGGCUUGAGUGUGGUAGAGGUUGGUGGAACUGCGAGUGUAGAGGUGAAAUUCGUAGAUAUUCGCAAGAACACCGGUGGCGAAGGCGGCCAACUGGACCAUCACUGACGCUGAGGCGCGAAAAGCGUGGGGAGCAAACAGGAUUAGAUACCCUGGUAGGAUAGCG
rnacentral:rRNA from 1 species